rnacentral:rRNA from 1 species
CCUACGGGUGGCAGCAGUGGGGAAUAUUGCACAAUGGGGGAAACCCUGAUGCAGCGACGCCGCGUGAGUGAAGCAGUAUCUCGGUAUGUAACGCUCUAUCUGCAGGGAAGCAAAUGACGGUACCUGACUACGAAGCACCGGCUAACUACGAGCCAGCAGCCGCGGUAAGACGUAGGGGGCACGCGUUAUCCGGAUUUACCGGGAGUAAAGGGCGCGUCGACGGUGCUGCAAGUCCGGAGUGAAAGCCCAUGGCUUAACCCUGGUUCUGCUCUGGAAACUGUGGAGCUUGAGUGCGGGAGGGGCAGGCGGAAGUCCUAGUGUAGCGGUGAAAUGCGUAGAUAUUAGGAGGAACACCGGCGGCGAAGGCGGCAUGCUGGCCCGUAACUGACGUUGAGGCUCGAAAGCGUGGGGAGCAAACAGGAUUAGAUACCCGUGUAGUC